UACGAAGGGGGCUAGCGUUGCUCGGAAUGACUGGGCGUAAAGGGCGCGUAGGCGGUUUGUACAGUCAGAUGUGAAAUUCCUGGGCUUAACCUGGGGGCUGCAUUUGAUACGUGCAGACUUGAGUGAGGAAGAGGGUUGUGGAAUUCCCAGUGUAGAGGUGAAAUUCGUAGAUAUUGGGAAGAACACCGGUGGCGAAGGCGGCGACCUGGUCCGAUACUGACGCUGAGGCGCGAAAGCGUGGGGAGCAAACAGG
rnacentral:rRNA from 1 species